GACGAACGCUGGCGGCGUGCCUAAUACAUGCAAGUCGAACGCUUCUUUCCUCCCGAGUGCUUGCACUCAAUUGGAAAGAGGGGUGGCGGACGGGUGAGUAACACGUGGGUAACCUACCCAUCAGAGGGGGAUAACACUUGGAAACAGGUGCUAAUACCGCAUAACAGUUUAUGCCGCAUGGCAUAAGAGUGAAAGGCGCUUUCGGGUGUCGCUGAUGGAUGGACCCGCGGUGCAUUAGCUAGUUGGUGAGGUAACGGCUCACCAAGGCCACGAUGCAUAGCCGACCUGAGAGGGUGAUCGGCCACACUGGGACUGAGACACGGCCCAGACUCCCACGGGAGGCAGCAGUAGGGAAUCUUCGGCAAUGGACGAAAGUCUGACCGAGCAACGCCGCGUGAGUGAAGAAGGUUUUCGGAUCGUAAAACUCUGUUGUUAGAGAAGAACAAGGACGUUAGUAACUGAACGUCCCCUGACGGUAUCUAACCAGAAAGCCACGGCUAACUACGUG
rnacentral:rRNA from 1 species